UGCGGCCACAUAACGUUAAGAAAUCGUUUCCUGUACGAUCACCGAAGUUAAGCAACCUCGAGCCUGUUCAGUACCUAGGUGGGUGACUGCGUGUGAAUACCAGGCGCUGUAG